UGGGGAAUAUUGGGCAAUGGAGGCAACUCUGACCCAGCCAUGCCGCGUGGGUGACGAAGGUCUUCGGAUUGUAAAGCCCUUUCGGCGGGGACGAUGAUGACGGUACCCGCAGAAGAAGCCCCGGCUAACUUCGUGCCAGCAGCCGCGGUAAUACGAAGGGGGCUAGCGUUGUUCGGAAUUACUGGGCGUAAAGGGCGUGUAGGCGGCCCGCUAAGUCAGGUGUGAAAUUCCUGGGCUCAACCCAGGACGUGCACUUGAGACUGACGGGCUUGAGUCCGGGAGAGGAUGGUGGAACUCCCAGUGUAGAGGUGAAAUUCGUAGAUAUUGGGAAGAACACCCGUGGCGAAGGCGGCCAUCUGGACCGGUACUGACGCUAAGGCGCGACAGCGUGGGGAGCAAACA
rnacentral:rRNA from 1 species